rnacentral:rRNA from 1 species
GACGAACGCUGGCGGCGUGCUUAACACAUGCAAGUCGAGCGAUGAACCUUUCAUGAAUUUUUCGGAAUGAUUGGAAGAGGAUUAGCGGCGGACGGGUGAGUAACGCGUGAGCAACCUGCCUUAAACAACGGGAUAGCCUCGGGAAACCGGGAUUAAUACCGUAUGAGACCCCGCCUUCACAUGAAGAAGAGGUUAAAGAUUUAUCGGUUUAAGAUGGGCUCGCGUCUGAUUAGCUAGUUGGUGAGAUAAAAGCACACCAAGGCAACGAUCAGUAACCGGCCUGAGAGAGUGAACGGUAACAUUGGAACUGACGAACGGUCCAACCUCCUACGGGAGGCGGCAGUGGGGAAUAUUGCACAAUGGGGGAAUCCCUGAUGCAGCGACGCCGCGUGAGCGAUGAAGGAAUUCGUUUCGUAAAGCUCUGUCCAAGGGGAAGAUAAUGACAGUACCCUUGGAGGAAGCCCCGGCUAAAUGCGUGCCAGCCGCCGCGGUAAUAC